rnacentral:rRNA from 1 species
GACGAACGCUGGCGGCGUGCUUAACACAUGCAAGUCGAACGGAAAGGCCCUGCUUGCAGGGUGCUCGAGUGGCGAACGGGUGAGUAACACGUGGGUGAUCUGCCCCUUACUUUGGGAUAAGCCUGGGAAACUGGGUCUAAUACUGGAUAGGACCAUGCUGUAGGUGGUGUGGUGGAAAGAUUAGUUUCGGUAAGGGAUGAGCUCGCGGCCUAUCAGCUUGUUGGUGGGGGAAUGGCCUACCAAGGCGUCGACGGGUAGCCGGCCUGAGAGGGUGGCCGGCCGCUUUGGGACUGAGAGCCCGCCCGGCCUCCUACGGGAGGCAGGAGUGGGGGAUAUUGCACAAUGGGGGCAAGCCUGCUGCAGCGACGCCGCGUGGGCGUUGACGGCCUUCGUGUUGUAGACUCCUUUCGGGCAUGACGAAGCCCUUGUGGUGAUGGUAGUGGUAGAAGAAGCGCCGGCUAACUACGUG